rnacentral:lncRNA from 1 species
UUUGUACUGUUUACAUGUGGAUGAGAGUGAGCUCAAUUAAAAAAUCGAAUUUAUUCUUCAAAAAACACUUUUUACUGUAAAAUGAACUGUUCAAUAUUUAUUUUCUAACAUAUUUUACAGAUUUCUGGUGAAUCUCGUCCGAGUUUGUCGGGGUUGAUGACUCUCGAGCUAUCGAAAUUCCAGUACGGGCUUCGUCAAGCGCAAAGAGAAAUGAGAAGAAAGGGAUUUGUUAAGGAGGACAUUAAAGUCGAAGGGAACGUCGUUAAUAACAUAAAUCAGGGUUAAUAUUAAUGUCACGAGAAUGAGAGGGGGAAAGCAGUCAAGUUGCAUUGCGGUUGGUGCAGCGGAGCGCUUGAGGUCGCGAAAGAGCACAAAGAAAUUGGGGGCGAAAGAGGUAGUCCGAUCGAUCAACAACUGGAUUUAGCCCCUGGGGACGAACCUCGUGGUAACGAAACGAGUAACGACGUAUCUCCACAAAGAGGCUCGAGUAUCUUACGCGAGAGAGUCUCUUGGAAUGAAAGUUUACACGCCGAGUCCCUCUCGCCAGAGGGCCUCUCGGAACUAUACACGUAUCCAAGCUCCUCGGGCGUGCAUUCUCGCGGGGAGCACGCAAUGCAACUACAAAAAGAGAAACCAAAGACGAAUGUUUCCACUAGGACUUAUUUGGGCGAGAUGCCGACAGGCGGCUCAUUUGUCAGGCCAAUGAGACGGAGACAGAACCUCCAUGGGCAGCCGCAUAGCGCAAUGUGUUUUUAGAUGUGUGCAAGCGUGUCUGCGUUUGCGUGUGUCGGGACCAAACCCAUGGGACUUGGAACAUCUCGUGGGUCUCUCGCGAGUUCGCGGAUCUGUGAUUCGCGAUGGCCAAGCCAUCGAGGGACGAUCCACUUUUUCACUCGAAUCUCAACGCUCUUACGGAUCACUGCGCACGCAUCGCUUUCUUCCUGGCUCGAUCGUAUUGUGCGUUUUUUAUGAAUAUGCUUGCAAUAAAAAAUCAGGUAUUCAGAUUCUUGUGACGGGGAUUAGGAAACGUUUCUUUUUUCGAAUUCUUUCGAGAAAUGCGAUCAUAAAUUAUUGUGAAAUUAUAGACUCGAACGUUGCACAGGCAUUUGCAAUAUUUUCGGAGCGAGUAAAUCGAGUGUCUGAAUCAACCAAAUUUUAAAUCCAUCAAAAGUUUCGUUGAAUCAGCAAAUUUAUUAUCUUCGCGAGAAAUUGGAAAAAAGGGCCAGUCAAAAGCAGUGUUAUGCGUGCCGAGUUUUUGAGCCAAUUGUACGAACACCUUAAUUCAUCUUUUUCAGUUUUAUUAAAUUGUUAAAAAAGGAUUGCCAUCAAGGGGCAUACGCAGUCGAAGAUAAAUGUUGAUGUCGUACGCACUCAUCCGGUUCGAGAUCGAUCCGAGUGUCGGUGAAUAACGGCUAUGAAAUUUACGUCUAUUCACGUGAAGUUGGAUCGUUCGAUCGCGGCAGAAGAAGCACGACUACCGUCUGGCGUUCUUCUGAAAAUGCACGUGGCUUCGAUCUCGCUUCGAAAAUCCUCGUGCAGCUUUCGACGAGAACUUCCAGUCUGCGACGAUGGGCGAGAAGAAAAGCCGAAUGUCGAGGAGCCCGAACGAAUGGAGCACGAAAAUGGGCAAAUCAGCACCCACGACGAAAUCAUUGUUUUUAACUCGAUUUUUUUAAUAACAAUGGCGAAGAAGUAGACAAAAAUUGAGUAAUCGGAAACAAUGAGCUCCGUUUUGGAGUUUCCAAUUUUGUGGUCGACUUCUUUCAUCCAUUGCGAAAAUGAUGUCGGUUUUGAACCACGGAUCACGCACAGCUGCUAUUCAAAUGAAAUCGUUCCUCGGAAAAGUCACCGAGCUAAAGAAUUAUCGAAAUCAUUUUCGAUCGUUAUUCAUUCGCAGAAUAAUUUCAUGGAUUCAUCAAUCAUACAGACUGGUGAGGAUAAAAUUAUUGCACACUUUUUAUGCAAUUACCAAUAGUCGUGGCAGUGGCUCGAUUAUAAUAAUGAAGAAAAUUCGCGAGGCGUUGAGAGUUCAUAGUUUUUUGAACGUUUCGAAAAGUUAGCUGUAAAUAAUCGAUGGAAUAGUUAUCAAGAUUGCUCGACGAUAAUCAGAAUUUGAGUGAAAAAGCCCACGGAGGGUUUCCGAAAGUGUCGAGAUUCGUGAAUGAUGGUAAAUGCUUGAUUCGUAACUUCGUAAAAACAAAGUGUGACAGUAGAGUCGUAAAGUUGAUAAAUAAAGCCGGAAGUGUUA